AUGGAGAUGAGAAGAACAGAGCAGUCUCGAAAGAAUCUGCGCAUGACUUUGACCCGGAAUUUGAAGAUGUUUCAAGAAACUUGAAUUGGAAUGCUGAAGACGAUGACCUCUUUAAAAACGAGCCAGAAGCUGGCAUCGAUGAUGAAAAAUACGAUGACGAAGGCGAAGGGGGUAAUGUUUUAUUAAGUUUAACGAAGAGAUCAACGGACCCCAAAUCGCGAAAAAAUGGGCGACGCACUUCCAAGCGGGUAAACGGUCGCUGGAUAGGGCGCCGCCAUGGGGGAGUAGGAGGGCGCCGCCAUCGAGGAGUACGAGGGCGCCGCUUUCGAGGAGUACGAAAGCGCCACCAUCGAGGAGUACGAGGGCCCCGCCAUCGAGGAGUACGAGGGCGCCGCUUUCGAGGAGUACGAAAGCGCCGCCAUCGAGGAGUACGAGGGCGCCGUCAUCGAGGAGUACAGUGGCGCUGCGUGGGGAUUACCGGAUUACAGGACCCCAAAUCGCGUAAAAAUACGUCCAAGCAUCUAAUCAUCCCAUUAUUCCCUAUGGCAGUACGCCCAUAUCCUUUACGCAGAAGGAACCAAGGCCCCUCGAACGGAUGGUACUCAUAAGGUUCAUGGGUACUAUCCGAAUAUGAAGACCAACAAGAAACUUAGCUUCAAGCAUGACAAUCCAAUCUCUGCAGUAAAACACGGAUAUGAUAAAGUAAAAUUUUAGACGCUAAGUCGAACGUAAAACUCCGAGAGAGUUAGUUCUAAUAAUCAGGAGCUUUUCAUCGAUGAAACUUUGGUUAAAAAAGCAAUAA